GACGAACCUGACGAACGUUAUUCGGAAUCACUGGGCUUAAAGGGUGCGUAGGCUGUGCAGAAAGUUGGGUGUGAAAUCCCUCGGCUUAACCGAGGAACUGCGCCCAAAACUACUGUGCUUGAGUGAGAUAGAGGUGAGCGGAACUUAGGGUGGAGCGGUGAAAUGCGUUGAUAUCCUAAGGAACACCGGUGGCGAAAGCGGCUCACUGGGUCGCUACUGACGCUGAUGCACGAAAGCUAGGGUAGCGAACGGG
rnacentral:rRNA from 1 species